CCGGAUGGGCUACUCGCCUUUCUUUUCUCUCUCUCGCUCGCUCGCUCUACUGCUCUCGCUCUCUCCUGCGCUCGCUCUUACUGCAAAACUAGGUCAAUUGGGAACCCACCUGCAUAUUGAUUGCAGGCUGGCACCAGGUAUAAAGCUAAGCCGGUGCUUCUUUGGAUUAUUCCUUCCAUGCAUUCAGCGCAAAGCAGCAGUAAAUGCUGACACUCUGCGACGGACUGAUCGGCAAGAGUAGAUCAUAUGACAGCCACAGCGCGGCAGGUUGUUUUAUUCCGGCGUUGCGGAGAGAGGUGCUUGUGUGAUUUCCCCCACCAGUGAGAGUAUAACGCUUCCGGUCCUGGGGUAAGCUGUUCAAACUAUUUUUAUUAGCGUUCACCACUACAAGAGGCUAAGGUUAUAUUUGUCUGUUUUAGGGUGUGAUCGCUGCCUUCACCUCCGUGGCAACUCACACAGCCUUAAGUGAAGAAUCAAGACACCUGCCUAGCCGUUGUUGUGAGGGCUCCUCCUCAGUGGAGCCUGCUGUCUUGUCUUGUCUUGUUUGGUUUUGAAUUGUUUUACCUUGUCUUAUUUGGUUUUAUUAAGUAGGCCUACCAUUUCCUGGUUCGCCUGGUUUUAUUUUAUUCUAUUUUAUUUCUGAACUGUGGCGUGUGCCCACGCUUCUGUGAUCGGGCUGAAGCAAUCCUUUGCCCGAGUGUCGUGCCGGGAAUUUUAAAUUGCCUCCGUUGCUGGUCUUAGCCUGUGGGGAGCCAGACCAGCUGGCGAUUGAGGCUGGGACGACUACUACCAGUACGAGUGGACCCGUGGGGCAUAAGCCUUCCAUUGUGUGGACGAAGGACGUGCCAGUGGCCCUGGGACCUCAGGUGGUGGGUCGUUUUCACACUUUCUUUUGUACAGCACCGGGUGGGCUGCAGUGAUUUUCGUUUUGUGUGAUUUUCUUUUGGGUCCACGGCUGCUGGUAAGUCAAAGUUCCAUGUUUGUUUUAUUUUCACGUUAAGACACUGUCAACAAUGACGCUACAUUUUGGUUUCUAAUAUUUUAUUUAUUUUUAUUAUAAAUAAACUGUUUUAAUAUUGGAGCCAA